rnacentral:rRNA from 1 species
AACGUAGGUGGCGAGCGUUAUCCGGAUUUACUGGGCGUAAAGAGCGCGCAGGCGGUCGUUCAAGUCGAGUGUGAAAGCCCCCGGCUCAACUGGGGAGGGUCACUCGAUACUGAUCGACUCGAAGGCAGGAGAGGGUAGUGGAAUUCCCGGUGUAGUGGUGAAAUGCGUAGAUAUCGGGAGGAACACCAGUGGCGAAGGCGACUACCUGGCCUGUUCUUGACGCUGAGGCGCGAAAGCUAGGGGAGCAAACGGG